CCCUUAGAUGUUCUGGGCCGCACGCGUGCUACACUGAGUGGAUCAGCGGGUCAGGUUGCGCGAAAGCGUUUCCUAAUCUUUAAAUCCGCUCGUGAUGGGGAUUGACGGUUGCAAUUUUCUGUCAUGAACGAGGAAUACCUUGUAAGCGCGAGUCAUCAUCCCGCGCUGAAUACGUCCCUGCCCUUUGUACACACCGCCCGUCGCUCCUACCGAUUGAGUGGUCCGGUGAGGCUUUGGGAUCUGAGCGGAAAGAGCGUUUCGCUCGUUCUGCCCGGAAAACUCAGUCGAACCUUAUCAUUUAGAGGAAGGAGAAGUCGUAACA
rnacentral:rRNA from 1 species